UCCUGGGUAGUAUAGUGGGAAUUACACGCUGCCAUGAACUGCGAGACCGGGGUUCAAAUCCUUGUCCGGGAG
rnacentral:tRNA from 1 species